GAGUUGAUCUUGGCUCAGGAUGAACGCUGGCGGCGUGCUUAACACAUGCAAGUCGAGCGAAGCAUUUUGGAUGAAGUUUUCGGAUGGAUUCCGGAGUGACUGAGCGGCGGACGGGUGAGUAACGCGUGGGUAACCUGCCUCAUACAGGGGGAUAACAGUUAGAAAUGACUGCUAAUACCGCAUAAGCGCACGUCUCCGCAUGGAGAAGUGUGAAAAACUCCGGUGGUAUGGGAUGGACCCGCGUCUGAUUAGCUUGUUGGCGGGGUAACGGCCCACCAAGGCGACGAUCAGUAGCCGGCCUGAGAGGGCGACCGGCCACAUUGGGACUGAGACACGGCCCAAACUCCUACGGGAGGCAGCAGUGGGGAAUAUUGCACAAUGGGGGAAACCCUGAUGCAGCAACGCCGCGUGAGUGAAGAAGUAUUUUCGGUAUGUAAAGCUCUAUCAGC
rnacentral:rRNA from 1 species